rnacentral:rRNA from 1 species
AAACGUAGGUCACAAGCGUUGUCCGGAAUUACUGGGUGUAAAGGGAGCGCAGGCGGGGAGAUAAGUUGGGAGUGAAAACUAUGGGCUCAACCCAUAAAUUGCUUUCAAAACUAUCUUUCUUGAGUAGUGCAGAGGUAGGCGGAAUUCCCGGUGUAGCGGUGGAAUGCGUAGAUAUCGGGAGGAACACCAGUGGCGAAGGCGGCCUACUGGGCACCAACUGACGCUGAGGCUCGAAAGUAUGGGUAGC